CAGUAGCCACGGUAAUACGCAGGGUGCGAGCGUUAAUCGGAAUUACUGGGCGUAAAGCGUGCGCAGGCGGUUGUGUAAGACAGGUGUGAAAUCCCCGGGCUUAACCUGGGAACUGCGCUUGUGACUGCACAGCUAGAGUAUGGCAGAGGGGGGUGGAAUUCCACGUGUAGCAGUGAAAUGCGUAGAGAUGUGGAGGAACACCGAUGGCGAAGGCAGCCCCCUGGGCCAAUACUGACGCUCAUGCACGAAAGCGUGGGGAGCAAACAGGAUUAGAUACCCGCGUAGUCCCUGUCUCUUAUAC
rnacentral:rRNA from 1 species